UACGGAGGGGGCUAGCGUUGUUCGGAAUUACUGGGCGUAAAGCGCACGUAGGCGGCUUUGUAAGUUAGAGGUGAAAGCCCAGGGCUUAACCCUGGAAUUGCCUUUAAGACUGCAUCGCUAGAAUCGUGGAGAGGUGAGUGGAAUUCCGAGUGUAGAGGUGAAAUUUGUAGAUAUUCGCAAGAACACCAGUGGCGAAGGCGGCUCACUGGCCCGAUACUGACGCUGAGGCACGAAAGCGUGGGGAGCAAACAGG
rnacentral:rRNA from 1 species